GGUGCGAUGGCCAAGUGGUAAGGCGUCGGUCUCGUAAACCGAAGGUCACGGGUUCAAUCCCCGUUCGUGCCU